rnacentral:sRNA from 1 species
GGAGAGCCAGAUCUGAGGCCGGAGGGCCAACGCAGCCUGCGCAUGGGGGUGAGGACAGGUGGGUCCAUCGUAGGGGGCCUGGGGCCCGCCCUUGCCCGUCUCACCUGCUCCCCCGCCCUCCUGCAGGCUGUGUUCCCCAGAGCACCCACUGCCAACACAGCCUCUACAGAAGGUCUUCCUGCUAAGCCCGGCUCACACACGCUGCGCCCCCGGAGCUUCCCAUCCCCGACCAAGUGUCUCCGCUGCACCUCGCUGAUGCUGGGCCUGGGCCGCCAGGGCCUGGGUUGUGAUGGUGAGAGUCCCCACCCACUAUGCUCCAGCCACGGUCCCAGCCUGCGGCUACUUUUGUCACACAACCUGUGCCCCACAGGC